AUGUGUUCUACUGUGCAUGUUUUAGACCACUCGCUGCAUGGCCAGCUAUUCCAGUGCUGGAGGUUUGGCAGAAGAUACUGCGGAGGGGAACCUCUUAUUACACUUCUUCCCCAUUUCCUCCUCGUUGCAGUGCAGAGAAACCUGCUUACCCUAGACUCACUGUUUCUUUCCCCGAUAAUCUUGAUGACCCGUCCCGUGAAGGAGGAAAAUAUUACAAACGCUGAUGGUCGGCAACAUAUUAAUAACAGGCCAAGCUGCCAGCGUUCAACAGCAUUCUGUAACCAGGCAACCUGCAUCUGCCAAGGAUGACCUCAAUGUUUUACAGGCCUGGGUUCCUGCAGCAGAACCACCACGGAGCUCGUUUAGACCAUUAGCACUUCGUCACCAGAGACGCAGCUGACAAGUGAGAUAAGCACAGACAGAGUGAAAACACUGCUUAUGUAACACAUGUAGAAUACCAAGACUUAAGUUACUAACUAUUUUUUCAUUGUAAACUGCAUUUAAUUACAUAAAAGAUAACAACUGUGUUUGCAAAUGUUACUGAAGUGGGAGCAAUUACUUCAGCAUUCAGCAUUGUUAUUGAUUAUUACUGCUGUGAUAUUUGCAGAUGUGGGAAUGACUCAUUAACUUCAUGUGAAAUAAGAUGCUUGGAAAUCGACUGUGUAGAAACUGACAGGUACAUUACAGUAACUGUCAUUUGACUUUAAAUACACACCAGAAGCCCAACUAAACACAUUUUUGCUGUAGCUGCUUCUCUGCUCUUCAGCAUAGUGAGGUGGCCUUUGGAGGAGCGUACUCUAGCCUAACGCAGUACCACCACAUAAUGGAUCCUCGCUCAUGGCUUGGAGGCACUGGUUUUAAUGAGGCCAAGGCUUGGCAGUCAAAUCCUGGGUACUUUCUACAAUACCACAUCGAUAGCUUGUUAUUAAACCAAACUAAUCAGCUGUGGAGGUAUUAGGACUGUGAUUUCUCUGCAUGUGACCAGCGAGAGGUGGACGGAGGGAUGCUUGGUCACUUGAUCGCUGGUUAGAAUAAAAGAAGCUUUCCUUUCCCA
rnacentral:lncRNA from 1 species